rnacentral:rRNA from 1 species
UGGGGAAUUUUGGACAAUGGGGGAAACCCUGAUCCAGCCAUGCCGCGUGUGUGAAGAAGGCCUUCGGGUUGUAAAGCACUUUCGGACGGAACGAAAUCGCACGGGUGAAUAUCCCGUGUGGAUGACGGUACCGUAAGAAGAAGCACCGGCUAACUACGUGCCAGCAGCCGCGGUAAUACGUAGGGUGCGAGCGUUAAUCGGAAUUACUGGGCGUAAAGUGUGCGCAGGCGGCUUCGCAAGUCGAGUGUGAAAUCCCCGGGCUUAACUUGGGAACGGCGCUCGAAACUACGGAGCUAGAGUAUGGCAGAGGGAGGUGGAAUUCCACGUGUAGCGGUGAAAUGCGUAGAGAUGUGGAGGAACACCAAUGGCGAAGGCAGCCUCCUGGGCCAAUACUGACGCUCAUGCACGAAAGCGUGGGGAGCAAACAGGAUUAGAUACCCACGUAGUCCCUGAGCGGGCUGGCAAGGCGCAU